GACGAACGCUGGCGGCGUGCUUAACACAUGCAAGUCGAACGGUAAGGCCCUUCGGGGUACACGAGUGGCGAACGGGUGAGUAACACGUGGGCGAUCUGCCCUGCACUUCGGGAUAAGCCUGGGAAACUGGGUCUAAUACCGGAUAGGACCUCUGCCUGCAUGGGUGGUGGUGGAAAGCUUUUGCGGUGUGGGAUGGGCCCGCGGCCUAUCAGCUUGUUGGUGGGGUGAUGGCCUACCAAGGCGACGACGGGUAGCCGGCCUGAGAGGGUGACCGGCCACACUGGGACUGAGAUACGGCCCAGACUCCUACGGGAGGCAGAAGUGGGGAAUAUUGCACAAUGGGCGCAAGCCUGAUGCAGCGACGCCGCGUGAGGGAUGAAGGUCUUCGGAUUGUAAACCUCUUUCAGUAGGGACGAAGCGAAAGUGACGGUACCUAAAGAAGAAGCACCGGCUAACUACGUGCCAGCAGCCGCUGUAA
rnacentral:rRNA from 1 species